ACUCAAAUGAAUUGACGGGGGCCCGCACAAGCGGUGGAGCAUGUUGUUUAAUACGUCACUAACCGUAGAACCUUACCAGGGUUUGACAUCCGCUGCAAUGCUAUGAAAGUAGCCUUCUCCGCAAGGGGACAGCGAGACAGGUGUUGCAUGGCUGUCGUCAGCUCGUGUCGUGAGAUGUUGGGUUAAGUCCCGCAACGAGCGCAACCCUCAUCCCAUGUUGCCAUCGGGUAAAGCCGGGCUCUCUUGGGAAACUGCCGGGGUAACUCGGAGGAAGGUGAGGACGACGUCAAGUCAGCAUGGCCCUUACACCCUGGGCUACAAACAUGCUACAAUGGACGGUAUACAGAGGGAACCGAGGGGGCGACCCGGAGGCAAUCCCAGAAAUCCGUUCUCAGUUCGGAUCGCAGGCUGCAACUCGCCUGCGUGAAGUCGGAAUCGCUAGUAACCGCAGGUCAGAUAAACUGCGGUGAAUCCGUUCCCGGGCCUUGCACACACCGCCCGU
rnacentral:rRNA from 1 species